UCUCUAGUAGCUUAGAUGAUAAAGAAUCUGCCUGCAAUACAGGACAUCCAGGUUCGAUCCCUGGAUUGGGAA
rnacentral:tRNA from 1 species